rnacentral:rRNA from 1 species
GACGAACGCUGGCGGCGUGCUUAACACAUGCAAGUCGAACGGAAAGGCCCUGCUUUUGUGGGGUGCUCGAGUGGCGAACGGGUGAGUAACACGUGAGUAACCUGCCCUAGACUUUGGGAUAACUUCAGGAAACUGGGGCUAAUACCGGAUAGGAGCUCCUGCUGCAUGGUGGGGGUUGGAAAGUUUCGGCGGUUGGGGAUGGACUCGCGGCUUAUCAGCUUGUUGGUGGGGUAGUGGCUUACCAAGGCUUUGACGGGUAGCCGGCCUGAGAGGGUGACCGGCCACAUUGGGACUGAGAUACGGCCCAGACUCCUACGGGAGGCAGCAGUGGGGAAUAUUGCACAAUGGGCGGAAGCCUGAUGCAGCAACGCCGCGUGCGGGAUGACGGCCUUCGGGUUGCAAACCGCUUUCGCCUGUGACGAAGCGUGAGUGACGGUAAUGGGUAAAGAAGCACCGGCUAACUACGUG